rnacentral:rRNA from 1 species
GAUGAACGCUGGCGGCGUGCCUAAUACAUGCAAGUCGAGCGAACAGAUGAGGAGCUUGCUCCUCUGACGUUAGCGGCGGACGGGUGAGUAACACGUGGAUAACCUACCUAUAAGACUGGGAUAACUUCGGGAAACCGGAGCUAAUACCGGAUAAUAUAUUGAACCGCAUGGUUCAAUAGUGAAAGACGGUUUUGCUGUCACUUAUAGAUGGAUCCGCGCCGCAUUAGCUAGUUGGUAAGGUAACGGCUUACCAAGGCAACGAUGCGUAGCCGACCUGAGAGGGUGAUCGGCCAAACUGGAACUGAGACACGGUCCAGACUCCUACGGGAGGCAGCAGUAGGGAAUCUUCGGCAAUGGGCGAAAGCCUGACGGAGCAACGCCGCGUGAGUGAUGAAGGUCUUCGGAUCGUAAAACUCUGUUAUUAGGGAAGAACAAAUGUGUAAGUAACUAUGCACGUCUUGACGGUACCUAAUCAGAAAGCCACGGCUAACUACGUG